rnacentral:lncRNA from 1 species
GAUGAACAGCAGCAUGGAAGUGUAAGCCGAAUAAACCCUUUCCUCCCCAACUUGCUUCUUGGUCAUGAUGUUUGUGCAGGAAUAGAAACCCUGACUAAGACAAAUUGGUACCAGGAGUGGGGUAUUCCUGUGACAACCUGACCAUGUUUUGGGGAGGUCUGUGGAAGGACUUUGGAACUUUGGUCUUGAAGAUCCAUUUGUUGUUAAGAGCUCUGUGGGAUGUUGUGUAGGAGCUUGGAAGAUAAUGUUGAGAACAGUGCAGAAGAUGGAGGCCUGGCUUGUGAAAUUUCAGAGGGAAAAUUAAAGACUCUUUUCAGGGCCAUUGCUGUUUUGAUUGUGAAGAUUCUGUAGUUCUGGUUAGCUGGGGCUGAAGAAUCAGCUGUGAUUAACAAGAUACCAGAACUACUGAAGCAAAAGCUUUGCAUUACUGGGACUAUUGAUGCUGGUUAGCUGGAGCUAAGAAAUUAGCGGUGAUUAAGAAGAGACCAGCAUCAUUGAGGUGACAUCUUCUGGGAAGUGUUUUCUGAGAGCACAGUGGCUGUGUUCCAGAUAUAGCCAAAGUUGUACCUUGUGCUGUGGCUGGACUUGGUAAUGUGUAAGAGUCACCCAGGUGGUACUGGUUUUGAAGGCAUGAAGGAGUUGAGCAGAACAGCUGAGGCUUGGCACUGUGAGAGGCCAUGGAAGGCCAUUGGUGAAAGUCCAGCCUCAUUUGCAAUUGAUGGCCCAGGACUGAAGGGGUCAUGCAGUGUUUUGGAGAUGCCAGUACCAUGAGAUGACCACCAAGAACAGCAGCAGCAGUGGAGUACAGGCAUCUGGAGCCUAGAGGAUGACGCGUGUGCUACAAAGGGCCUGGCUGGAGAAGUGACCCAAGCCCUUGGAGGAGCCCAGAAGAUUGUGAGUUGGAUCCCAGACAUUGGACAGUUGGAGAUUGACUUUUGCUUUUGAUUGUGACUGUGCCCUGAUAUUUUCCCUCUUGAAGGAAGAAACUG